rnacentral:rRNA from 1 species
AGAGUUUGAUCCUGGCUCAGGAUGAACGCUAGCGACAGGCUUAACACAUGCAAGUCGAGGGGCAGCACAGGUAGCAAUACCGGGUGGCGACCGGCGCACGGGUGAGUAACGCGUAUGCAACUUGCCUAUCAGAGGGGGAUAACCCGGCGAAAGUCGGACUAAUACCGCAUGAAGCAGGGGCCCCGCAUGGGGAUAUUUGCUAAAGAUUCAUCGCUGAUAGAUAGGCAUGCGUUCCAUUAGGCAGUUGGCGGGGUAACGGCCCACCAAACCGACGAUGGAUAGGGGUUCUGAGAGGAAGGUCCCCCACAUUGGUACUGAGACACGGACCAAACUCCUACGGGAGGCAGCAGUGAGGAAUAUUGGUCAAUGGGCGCGAGCCUGAACCAGCCAAGUCGCGUGAGGGAUGAAGGUUCUAUGGAUCGUAAACCUCUUUUAUAAGGGAAUAAAGUGCGGGACGUGUCCCGUUUUGUAUGUACCUUAUGAAUAAGGAUCGGCUAACUCCGUGCCAGCAGCCGCGGUAAUACGGAGGAUCCGAGCGUUAUCCGGAUUUAUUGGGUUUAAAGGGUGCGUAGGCGGCCUUUUAAGUCAGCGGUGAAAGUCUGUGGCUCAACCAUAGAAUUGCCGUUGAAACUGGGGGGCUUGAGUAUGUUUGAGGCAGGCGGAAUGCGUGGUGUAGCGGUGAAAUGCAUAGAUAUCACGCAGAACCCCGAUUGCGAAGGCAGCCUGCCAAGCCAUUACUGACGCUGAUGCACGAAAGCGUGGGGAUCAAACAGGAUUAGAUACCCUGGUAGUCCACGCAGUAAACGAUGAUCACUAGCUGUUUGCGAUACACUGUAAGCGGCACAGCGAAAGCGUUAAGUGAUCCACCUGGGGAGUACGCCGGCAACGGUGAAACUCAAAGGAAUUGACGGGGGCCCGCACAAGCGGAGGAACAUGUGGUUUAAUUCGAUGAUACGCGAGGAACCUUACCCGGGCUUAAAUUGCAGAUGAAUUACGGUGAAAGCCGUAAGCCGCAAGGCAUCUGUGAAGGUGCUGCAUGGUUGUCGUCAGCUCGUGCCGUGAGGUGUCGGCUUAAGUGCCAUAACGAGCGCAACCCUUGCCACUAGUUACUAACAGGUAAAGCUGAGGACUCUGGUGGGACUGCCAGCGUAAGCUGCGAGGAAGGCGGGGAUGACGUCAAAUCAGCACGGCCCUUACAUCCGGGGCGACACACGUGUUACAAUGGCGUGGACAAAGGGAAGCCACCUGGCGACAGGGAGCGAAUCCCCAAACCACGUCUCAGUUCGGAUCGGAGUCUGCAACCCGACUCCGUGAAGCUGGAUUCGCUAGUAAUCGCGCAUCAGCCAUGGCGCGGUGAAUACGUUCCCGGGCCUUGUACACACCGCCCGUCAAGCCAUGGGAGCCGGGGGUACCUGAAGUGCGUAACCGCGAGGAGCGCCCUAGGGUAAAACUGGUGACUGGGGCUAAGUCGUAACAAGGUAGCCGUACCGGAAGGUGCGGCUG